rnacentral:sRNA from 1 species
AACGAGCAAUACGGGUCACCUGAUGGUAU